AAUGUUGUGAAGUUGUGAAAAUAUUGUGAAUAUUCUGAAUUUGUGGAAAUAUUGGAAUAUUGCGAAUAUUGUGAAGUUGUGAAAAUGUUGUGAAUUUGUGAAAAUAAAGAAUAUGGAAUAAGAAAAUAGGGAAUAUUGUGAAUAUUGUAAAUUUGGGAGUUUGUGAAAAUAAUUGUGAAUUUAUGAAAAUAUUGUGUUUGUAGAAAUAUGUGAAAAUUGUAGGAAAUAUUGUUACCCAAAAAAAAUUGUAGGAAAUAUGUGAAGUUUAUAGUAAAAAAACUUAAGUUUUAGGAAAGAAAUUAAAUUUGUAAAAAGUCUGUAAAAUUGUAGAAAUUAUUGUGUGUGUUUUUUUUUUUCACACAUGCCAUCGCAGUUGAUCAUUAGUGGUCGUCGCUAUAUCUCCGCUUCAGGUCAGAGUGGCUCAACAAAAGGGAUACCCAGCAGCACCUAGCUGGUCACUACUAAGUCGGUGAUAGGCCCUAGUACUUUUAAUACAUCGAGGCGAGUGCCUCGAUCUACCAAGCGUCUUCACAGCUAGAGAUGCCACGAGCAUGUGAUGGUCCUAGCCAGCCCUGCUGAUGUUGUGGAGGCCGAUUGGGCGACUGUUCACUCAGAGGGAGAUGGAAAACUCCCAAUUGAGAAGAAGAGCAAAUUGGGGAAAGGGGAUCUGUAGAGGUUUGGCCUCCAACUACAUCACCUGCUUAUCGCAGGCCCGGAUCGUCGUCGAUUACAUCCCACUCUACCAACGAGCAGGUCAGAAAGUCAACAACUUGUUGACUCACGACAUAGGUGCCAUUAUCCGCAUCAUGCCCCAUGGUCACCAAAUGUGGAGGAAGCUCGGCCUCGAGGUGAAUGACGAGAUGAUGAGAUAGAUUUCCGUGAGUCUAGAAUUUUUUAAACUUAUUAACCAACUUCGCCAUUGACAUGAAGACCUGGGUACAAAAGAGUACAUAUAUAUGGUGUGGACUAAGCAGUACAAGGAGUAAAAGUAUGUACUGCACUGGUAUUACAGGACUUGUGCAUCUCCUGAUGAAGCUCAUAUUGAUCCACCCCCAAAGGUUAGGGAGAGGAUUGGUCAGUGCGAGUGCUUGUGCGAUCAUUUUUAGAGCCCGACAUUUCUAGUAAUUUUUUAAAAAAUUCUUUUAAUUCCAUUUUUGUAUUUUUAUUUAAUUUUUAAUUUACAGCGUAAAUCAACGACAAAUAAAGGUAACCAGAAAAUGAAGCCAUAUCUUCAUCACUUUGGUUCUUGGCCAUUAUCUUUUUAGGUCGACGAACGGCGUGAGCAUGGCUCAAAUUUCCCCGAAGUGGAGGCUUGGGGGGAUAGACAUGUCAAUUAUGGCAACUAGUUGGCUGACGAUAUUUAUGCUUCUAGGUCACAGAAGAAGGACGACGUCAUCUAAACUGCAACAGUUAGAGAUGUAGCUAGCAAGCUAGCAAAAAGAAGCUGCGCUAAAGCAAGAAGAAGUUGCAUGAAAGCGAGAAGUCGUACGCCAAUGAGAGGACGACCUUAUGCAAUACAUUGCUGGGAUAGCCCAAGCAAUGUUAGCUUCUGGCAUCCGCAUUCAGGAUCAUUUGAGAGACCUUCAGUUGCCAUUCAACAGCCACCUGAUCAGCACCUACCUGAGUGGUCGUACUUAGUUUAGUUUUUGGUAAAAUAUUUAUUUUUAAUAUAAUUAAUAAAUUUCUUUAAAGUUGAGACUUAUGUUAGCUUUUGAGAUUAAUAUUAUUAAAAUUAAAUAAA